GCUUCCCUAGCUCAGUUGGUAGAGCAACUCAUUCGUAAUGAGUAGGUCGUCGGUUCGAGUCCGAUGGGGAGCU
rnacentral:tRNA from 1 species